AUACUUACCUGGCAGGGGAGAUACCAUGAUCAAGAAGGUGGUUCACCCAGGGCGAGGCUUGGCCAUUGCACUCCGGCCACGCUGACCCCUGCGAAUGGCGGUGGAACGUAUGGUAGUGCAAUUAAUCACAACGCGAUUGGCUGAA
ensembl:snRNA U1 U1 spliceosomal RNA